rnacentral:lncRNA from 1 species
CUCUUGUUUAGUUUCUGCUGCUGGAGGGGUCGUAAGAUCAUCGAUGUCUAUCGCCUUCGUGGCUACUCCAGGUUCUUCUCCUUCGCUGAUUACUGCUGGUUUUUCGGUUUUGCUAGCGGCUUUUGGAUCCUCUUGUAGCAGCGGACUCUCUUCCUCGCUGGUGGGAGUCGUUUCCUCGACUUGCUCUUUGUCUUCCUUCUGAGCGUCUGCUAGCUCGUCUUCGACAGUGAUGGGAGCUGCGUCAUCUGGAGCAGUGAUAGCUUUGUCUUUGGCUGGUGUGAAAUCUUCUGGUACUCUUUCAGCUUCUUUCUCUUUCUCUUCCUCUUGAGUUCCUUCGUCUUUGGCAGUGAUGGGAGCUGCUUCGUCUGGAACAAUGAGAUCUUUGUCUUCGCCUGGUGUGGAAACUUCUGGUACUGCUUUCUCUUUGUCUUCCUCCUGAGUUUCUGCGAGCUGAGUUCCAUCGUCUUCGGCAGUAAUGAGAGCUGCUUCGUCUAGAGCAAUGUCGCCUUUGUCUUCGGCUGGUGUUGUUGCUUCUUCCUUGUCGUUCUCGUGGACGAUGCUUGUUGUUUCGAGCUCCUUAGCCUUCUGAUCCUCGCGAUUCUCUGCUGGAUGAGUUCCUUCACCAGCAGCUACCGCCGCUUCUUUCUCUUCGUCCGCAGAUACUAUUGUUUCUUCAACUGUUGCUUCUUCAUCUUUGCCCGCUUCUUGGUCCGGAAAGGUGACAUCUGCGUCGUGAAAUUCUUCCUUGUCCGGACUUAUACCUUCUGCUACUUGAGUUUCGUCGUGCACCUCCUCCUUGUCCGGAAUUGUAUCUCCUGCUACUUGAGUUUCGUUGUGCACCUCUUCCAUGUCCGGAAUAAGAGUUUCCUUGUGCACCUCGUCCUUGUCCAGAAUUAUAUCUUCGGCUACUUGAGUUUCGUCGUGCACCUCUUCCUUGUCCGGAAUUAUAUCUUCGGCUACUUGAGCUUCAUCGUGGAUCUCUUCUCUGUCUGGAAUUAUGUCUUCUGCUGUCUGAGUGCUCGUGGAAAGAGCAUCCGUUUGGAGAACUGUUGUUUCUUUCUCUUUCUCUCCGCUUGGAUCUUGAUCUUCUGCUACUUGAAAUCUUUCCUCGCGUUUGUCAGUUGCUUCCAUCUCCGAGUUUUCUGCGAUCUUAGCCUGAGUUUCUUCACUGCUCACUGUUUCUUGCACCUUUUCUUCGUCGUCGCCAGCAGCUGGAACAUUCCUGUCCACGGCUUCGUCUUUCAAAGGUUCGUGUUCAAUCAGAUUUGUUGACUCCUCGGUGUCUCUAAUAUCUUGCUCGCCUUCUUCAGUCCGACCUUCCACUGGAUUUUGGAUUGCUUCGUCACCACCUUCGACUGCCUUGUCCUCCCUGGCUUCGAUAGCUCCCUCGACAUCUUGGACUGUCGACG